rnacentral:lncRNA from 1 species
GGAUAUCGUGCUUGUGCUUCGUUUUCUGAAGGUGGAUUCACUUCCCGUCUUAGGAUAUUCGCCAUCUGGUUCAAUAGUCCCAGCCGCCUUGGAACAAUUUGGUACAUACGCCUCCGUGCUGCUUCUGGAUCCAGAAAAACUGUAUGUGAUUUUCUUUCAUGACCCGCAAUCCCUAAUGCACCCUCUGCACUUUGGUGAUCAAAUCCAUAGGUCCUGGAUUUCGUUGUGAACACGAAGUACGCUGCAUAAUUGGUGUCAGGGGAUAACAUAGAAGUGUUUAUCUUGCCGGCAAUGUCAAACCAGCAGACGUCAAGAAGCUCAGCGACCUCUGAGAACCUAGUAUCAAAAACAUCACAUUACAUCAAAUUGAGAAUGAAAAAAUGACAUCCUAUAACCAAGAUUCUACUCUGCUUCGCUUUAGCAUUAAAACUUUUAUCCUUAGAACCAGACUGCAAAUGUAAAAACAAGUACUAAUCGUCAACUCAAAUAAAGAAAAGGUAGAGGAAAAGGACUUCUCUUCUACCCCAUAAUAAAAGUUACUUGUCAAAUGAAAUACCUGGACUCGGGAAGGGAUAUCCAUCUCCAAUACCUAGGUGUGUCAGCCCAAACAAUUGCAAGUGACUUUGCAGCUAACAUGUAACAUUUCUUUCCACUGCGCUUCUCCAAUGAGAAGCUCUACAUUUUAUCAAGACCAAGACAGAAGUAAACUUAGCAAGGAAGAAACAAAACUAAGCGCAGCAAUAGUUGCUCAAAGUAGAGAAAAUAGGAAAAAUGAGCUAAUCACAUGUGACCCAAAACACAAAGCAAUGAUAUGAAAAGUGUAGCAGAAAAUACACAAUGUGAUCAAAGCGAUAUCAAUAUGUACUUAAAGACAAAAUGGCGGAUCCAUAGCUAUCCACAAGUGGCAACUGUGGUCCUGUUGCUUUUUUUUUUUUAAAUAUUCUAAUUUCCUUUGGUACCCCCAAAAAGAUAAAAGAGGGGAAAGGGAGUAAUAGGAACGUGAAAAGGCUUUGAUUAGUGUAUCAUAAAAUGUUAAUAUCAUUCACAAAAGAAUCUAAAAGAAUAUGGUUAGCAGGCACCACUAUAUAAGGUUCUGACACCGUAUUCAACUUCCCAUCUUAUGCAUCAAUGUGAUGUAGCCAAGUGCAAACAGAUCGUUUCUCUCACACAUGGACUUGACGAAUACAGGAAAGAUAUCAGCUUUCAAUGAGUGCAAUGAUAUGAAAAGUGUAGCAGAAAAUACACAAUGUGAUCAAAGCGAUAUCAAUAUGUACUUAAAGACAAAAUGGCGGAUCCAUAGCUAUCCACAAGUGGCAACUGUGGUCCUGUUGCUUUUUUUUUUUUAAAUAUUCUAAUUUCCUUUGGUACCCCCAAAAAGAUAAAAGAGGGGAAAGGGAGUAAUAGGAACGUGAAAAGGCUUUGAUUAGUGUAUCAUAAAAUGUUAAUAUCAUUCACAAAAGAAUCUAAAAGAAUAUGGUUAGCAGGCACCACUAUAUAAGGUUCUGACACCGUAUUCAACUUCCCAUCUUAUGCAUCAAUGUGAUGUAGCCAAGUGCAAACAGAUCGUUUCUCUCACACAUGGACUUGACGAAUACAGGAAAGAUAUCAGCUUUCAAUGAGUUCAAAUUACCAAGAACUAGCACAUACUUAAUGUCUAUGUGAUCGAUAGAUCACCUCAAUCUUUGAAGGAGAAGAUUCCAGGAAUAAAUUGAAACACUAUCUUUUCUUCUGCAUGUUUCACAUCGAUAUAAUUCCCAUAUUCUGUACGUUUCUUUUGGUUAUUACCUCACAGUCUGCCAGGUAGCUUUUAUAUCGUUGAAGUCGGUCUUUAACCUACUCUAUUCGCUUAGGCGACACAGGCAAAAAAAAAAAAGUCGCAUUUAUCCACUUGUCAAGGAAAUGACUGACUAUUAUAUCUUCUUCACUAGUUCAAUCCAUGCGAGUAAAUAUAUGAGCAAAAGAUCCUUAUUGUUGUUCAAAAAUCACAUGUUCUAGAGUAACAAUUGUUUCACAUUAUGUUUCAUACCAAAACAAACCAAAAUCAAUUCUCUCCUGACAAAUCACAAACAAUUCUUUCAAAAUCAAAUCCACACAGUAGAGUUACCUGGUGGGGGGUGGCGGGGUGCGCACAAGCUGGCCUGAACAUCACGAUUAUCCAAAACAACACUAAAACAAAACAAUUUCUAAUCCACACGGUUGGUUCAGAAUGUAUUCUCCAACUAUAACACAAUGAGUUAAGUUCUAUGUCGUGGCAGUGUAAAUAUUAUUUACACAAUUGGGUCACUUAUUUAUCUUGGUAAAAAUAGGUAAUUAACAUGCUAUCACAGAAUAAUGUAAAAAGAUCUUUACGAUGUCAGUGCAUACAACUUAAAUUCAAACAAGGUAUUAUGAGUAUUUCCGCAAAUUAUUGUUUUCAAAAACAAAAUAGACAAAAACCAGUCUUAGAACAAACUCAAAAUUAGUCCUCUCAAAACUAAAUCCCCCCCCCCCCCCCCCCN